UCCAGAGGUCCCAAGCGUUGUUCGGAUUCACUGGGCGUAAAGGGUGCGUAGGCGGUCGGGUAAGUCUGAUGUGAAAUCUCACAGCUUAACUGUGAAACUGCAUUGGAUACUAUUCGGCUUGAGAGUUGGAGGGGGGACUGGAAUUCUUGGUGUAGCAGUGAAAUGCGUAGAUAUCAAGAGGAACACCAGUGGCGAAGGCGAGUCCCUGGACAACUUCUGACGCUGAGGCACGAAAGCUAGGGGAGCAAACAGG
rnacentral:rRNA from 1 species